rnacentral:rRNA from 1 species
UACGUAGGGUGCGAGCGUUGUCCGGAAUUAUUGGGCGUAAAGAGCUCGUAGGCGGCCACUCAAGUCGAAUGUGAAACCUCGAGGCUUAACCUCGAGCCUGCAUUCGAUACUGGGCGGCUAGAGUCUGGUAGGGGGAUCUGGAAUUCCUGGUGUAGCGGUGGAAUGCGCAGAUAUCAGGAGGAACACCAGUGGCGAAGGCGGCCGCCUGGACCUGACCUGACGCUGAGGCGCGAAGGCGUGGGGAGCGAACGGG